GAUGAAGAACGCAGUGAAAUGCGAUAAGUAAUGUGAAUUGCAGAAUUCAGUGAAUCAUCGAGUCUUUGAACGCACAUUGCGCCCCCUGGUAUUCCGGGGGGCAUGCCUGUCCGAGCGUCAUUGCUGCCCUCAAGCACGGCUUGUGUGUUGGGCCCCGUCCUCCGAUCCCGGGGGACGGGCCCGAAAGGCAGCGGCGGCACCGCGUCCGGUCCUCGAGCGUAUGGGGCUUUGUCACCCGCUCUGUAGGCCCGGCCGGCGCUUGCCGAUCAACCCAAAUUUUUAUCCAGGUUGACCUCGGAUCAGGUAGGGAUACCCGCUGAACUUAAGCAUAUCAAUAAGCGGAGGA
rnacentral:misc_RNA from 1 species